CCGGCACGGGUGAGUAACACGUAUGCAAUCCACCUGUAACAGGGGAGUAACCGGAGAAAUCCGGACUAAUACCCAUAAUAUGGGCGCUCCGCAUGGAGAGCCCAUUAAAGAGAGCAAUUUUGGUUACAGACGAGCAUGCGCUCCAUUAGCCAGUUGGCGGGGUAACGGCCCACCAAAGCGACGAUGGAUAGGGGUUCUGAGAGGAAGGUCCCCCACAUUGGGACUGAGACACGGUCCAA
rnacentral:rRNA from 1 species